GUGCCCUACUUGAAAUGGCUGCUGGUUGUUGAACUGGCCUUUGGUGGCUGGCACCCAUCUGCUAUUGUCCCUGGAAGAGUGCCUGUGACCUGGACCCAGUCCGCGGCGCACAGACCCCGGCUCUGGGCACCCCUGGUCAGGGCCUUCUGCACCACAGCUCCGCACAGCACCAGCCAGCUCGCUCCUGCAGCUUCAGUUCUUUUGUUGCAGUCCUGACGGGUCAGUCACCUGAGCAUCCAUGCUGCCAGGUGACAAACCCAGGCAUGCAGAGAUGUAAUCCUUUACCCAGGGUGACACGAUGUGGAGCUGAAUCCAAGUCUGGGAGUCUGGUGACCGUGUCUGGGCUCUAACCGCGCAACCGCCUCACAGUGAAACAAAUUGGGGACUGGCCUUUUCCUGAGUGGCCUUAGGAAGGUGCAGUGGCCUGCAGCCUCCUGUCCCAUCCCCGCCAUUGACAAGUACAUCGAUGUCCCACAGCUGUGCCACUAGAGGCUGUUUGACUGUGGUAGUUCACAUGUAUCUGCUUAGUCCUCUUUUGCCAGACUGUGUGCUUUGUGUGCCAGUUCUAAUUUAAGUAAAAAUCUGGACAUUCUUGGUUAUCCCACGUGGAGUAAGGACUGAGCAAACUCACAUCCAUCACCCUGGCCAGGGCCUGAGAGCAGCAGCCUCUCGGCCAGGGGCUCUGUUAGGAGGACUCUGGGCGUGGGGGAAGGGAGGGAGAAGCCCUGUUACUAAGAGUUAAGGACCAAACAGUCAGCAGGCCCAGGAACCCCAGCGGAGCUCCACCAUAAGUGAAUGUCUAGUUCGACUAUAUUUUCUUGUAGAAUCAUUAACUCCAAAAAAAUUGAACUGAAUCAUGUACGAUUCACAAACACACGACUUUACCAUCUCACCAGAAACACUCUUACCACAAGGACGCUAAGUCGGUUCUGUAAAAUGUGGGCUACAUGAUGUACCGCACAGCCUUGCAGGCUCCUGUUUUUCUUUCUUUUUCUCUUUCUUAGGAUUAGAAUGAGUACAUGUAAAGUGCUUAGUGUAGGAGGUGGCAGAGAGAGUAGAUACUCAAUAAAUAACAGCAAUCAUAAGUGUACAAAGUGGGCCAUGUGCCUGGCAUUGCCCCUCACCCCUGCCUCCCCUUCUAAGCAGCCUGUUGAGCACUUGGUAAUUCCUCACUUGAAAGAGAUUACAAAGAGGUUUGUUUGGUUUAUAUUUAAAUUUUUUUUUAUUGUGGUAAGAUGCACAUAACAUAAAAUUUGUACAUUCACAUUGUUGUACAACCUCAUCACCAUCUAUCUCCAGAACUUUUUCAUCAUCUCAGACAGAAACUCUGUCCUCAUUUAACACAGACUCCCCAUUCCCUCCUUCCCUCCCAUCCCUAUCUCCUGGUAACCACCAUUCUACUUUCUGUCUCUCUGAGUUUGAGUACUCUAGGUAUAGGCUAUAAAGAGGUUUGAUCAACACAAACCAUAAUAAACCUUAAACCUAUAGAAUUCAAUUAAAGGGUUGGUUUCUCCCAUGUCUUCACACAGCUAUCACCCUUCACAAAAGUUUCUAAAUCAAAGAAGGAAAGUAGGGACUCCUUGUCUUGGGUCUGCAAGACUUUCCCAGCCGUGAGAUUGCUCACUGGCCAACCUUGAGCCUCUUAGCUUCAGAUCUUCCACUGCUCCACUGUUUCCUCCCAGUUCUUGCUGCUCAUCCAGAUGCUGCAGAAUCAGCCACUUCCCAAACUUGGUGCCACUGGGAAAAGGUGCUCAGUUUUUCCCAGCCUUGCUACCAUUUUUUUUUUCUGUUAUUCCUCCCACAGGACAUAAGCCUGUACUCUCUGGGUAACAGAAUGUUCUUUUACAUUGUCUUCAGUUAAACCCUGGUCAACCAGUGCUUCCCUGAAAGUGACCAAUUAAUUCAUCCAAGGACCAACUAUCAGAAAUACACUUGCUAGAAAUCAUCAUUUGUGAUUCAAUUUCCAAGCAAAUCAGGAAUUGUGGAUCAAGAGUGUGUCCGAAGUGUGAUGUUGAAUUGUUACAGUCAGGUCAGACCUCUCAUCUGAUGCCUGCUGUAAUAUUAUUCCUAGUAUUUGCCUGAGA
rnacentral:lncRNA from 1 species